CCGCGCACUUUCCCGCCGGGCCAGUGGCGAAGCCGGAAGUCGGCGCCUCCGCGCCCGGGGCUUCGCUUCCUUUUACGGCAGCCUUGGCACUCGCCUGGCACUUGCCGUAAAGCGAGCAGCUUCCGGUGCGAGGAGGCGCCCAGGUGUCCCGUGUUUGCCCGGCCGGCACGGGGUCUGUGCAGGCCCACAGCCUUCUCCCGCCGGCUGUCCCCACCUGGCUGGUCGGCGUUGGGUGCCUCCCAGCGCCCGGCCUGCCCCCCGCAGGGGUCGGGAGCCCGUGCUCGCCCGGGAGCUUUCUCUGUUCGGAGUGGGAAACCCGUGCGAGGCCCUUGGGUGGUCCACUGACCGGGGAAAACACCUUGUGACUACUCUGGGAUCAACUACAGCCAGAUGAUGAUUGUGGAACAACUGACCUCAUUCCCAAGCCCUACACCCACCCCAAGGCCCCCUAUAUAAUCCAUCCACAAAACCUUCUGGGAGAUUCGCUCUCUUCUGCUCAACUCCCUGUGUGCGGGCUCUUUUCAAUAAACUCGACUGACCAACUUA